AAUAGAUACCCGGGUAGUCCACCCCGUAAACGUUGGGAACUAGUUGUGGGGUCCAUUCCACGGAUUCCGUGACGCAGCUAACGCAUUAAGUUCCCCGCCUGGGGAGUACGGCCGCAAGGCUAAAACUCAAAGGAAUUGACGGGGACCCGCACAAGCGGCGGAGCAUGCGGAUUAAUUCGAUGCAACGCGAAGAACCUUACCAAGGCUUGACAUACACGAGAACGGGCCAGAAAUGGUCAACUCUUUGGACACUCGUGAACAGGUGGUGCAUGGUUGUCGUCAGCUCGUGUCGUGAGAUGUUGGGUUAAGUCCCGCAACGAGCGCAACCCUCGUUCUAUGUUGCCAGCACGUAAUGGUGGGAACUCAUGGGAUACUGCCGGGGUCAACUCGGAGGAAGGUGGGGAUGACGUCAAAUCAUCAUGCCCCUUAUGUCUUGGGCUUCACGCAUGCUACAAUGGCCGGUACAAAGGGCUGCAAUACCGUGAGGUGGAGCGAAUCCCAAAAAGCCGGUCCCAGUUCGGAUUGAGGUCUGCAACUCGA
rnacentral:rRNA from 1 species